UCCUACGGGGGGCAGCAGUGGGGAAUAUUGCACAAUGGGGGAAACCCUGAUGCAGCAACGCCGCGUGAGUGAGGAAGUAUUUCGGUAUGUAAAGCUCUAUCAGCAGGGAAUAGAAAAGAAGGUACCUGAAAAAGAAGCCCCGGCUAACUACGUGCCAGCAGCCGCGGUAAUACGUAGGGGGCAAGCGUUAUCCGGAUUUACUGGGUGUAAAGGGAGCGUAGACGGAAAGGCAAGUCAGAAGUGAAAGCCCAAGGCUCAACCAUGGGACUGCUUUUGGAACUGCGUGGCUGGAGUGCAGGAGGGGG
rnacentral:rRNA from 1 species